UGUUAAAAAUUGCAUCUAUUUGUAAUGUUAAAAUUGACAUGACUAACGAAAUAACCAUAUAGUGACACGUGACGUGUCACGUGUACCCAUGCUGGCAUACAGAGACUAGUUUUUAAAAAUAAAAAUGUAUGAAAUCUUUAAUA
rnacentral:pre_miRNA from 1 species